rnacentral:lncRNA from 1 species
GGUGGAAGCACAAACAAAAGGAGAGAGAAAAAGUAGAAAAGAAAGGGGGGAAGAAGUCUAGUGCUAGUUCUUACUAAGACUUCUUUAUCUAACUUUCAUUUUUGAGUGGUUUCUUUGUUCUCUUAUUUGGAUUGAAAGAAAGAAAAAACUUCCCUUUCUUUCUCUUCUUUAUUUUUGUUUUAUCCCUUCGACGAAUUUCGGCUAUGACCAAUGCCCCACUAGCUAAAUAGGCGUAAGAAAAAGCUACCUGAAAAAAAAGCAAGGUGCACCUUGAAUUGAACUCGACGAAUUGCGUUUUGCCAGAGAGAUUUUUUUAGAAAGAUUCUCCAUUGGUAAUUCAAAAAUAGAAAGAAUAUAAAUAAAGGCGCAUACGCGGGAAGGG